AAAUUUAAAUCUUAAUUAAGUUUGAUUAGAGUUGUGUUUAUAAAUUUAUUUAAAUUAUUAUUAAGUUAAUUUAUUUUAGUAUAAUUUAGAAAAAAUUAAAUUAUUUAUAGUUAAUUUGUAUUGAGAAAGAUUGAUGAAAUAAAUGAAAAUUUAAUUUUUUAUAAGUAAAUUUAAUUUAUUGUAUCUUGUGUAUCAGAGAUUAUCAAUUAAUUUUUAAUGAAGUUUUAAAUAUUUUCGAAAAUAAAAGAUCUAAUUAAUUAUAUUAGUUAAUAUAAUAAAAUUAUUAAUUAUAGUUAAUUAGAAAUGAAAUGUUAUUCGUUUUUAUUGAUAUCUAAUUUUUUAAGAAAUAAAUUUAAUUUAGAUAAAUUUAAUAAUAAUAAUUUUAUUAAUUAAUUUAUUAUAAAAAUUUAUUUAUAUUUUAAGGGAUAAUCUUUAAAAUAUAUAAUUAAAAAUGUUAAGUAUAAUAAAAUUUAUAAAAAUAAAAUUUUUUUUUAAAUAUAGUUUAUUAUAAAAAAUUUUAUUAUAAAUAUAAUUUAAUAUAACAGUUAAUUAAUUUAUUAAAUUAUUAAAUUUAAUUAUUUAAUUUAAAUAAUAAUGAUAAUAUUAGUAUAUAAAUAUAUAAAUUAUAAUAAUUUAGUUAGGUUAAUUUAACGAAUUCGGCAAAAAUUUAUUCGCUUGUUUAACAAAAACAUGUCUUUUUGAUUAAUAAUUUAAAGUCUAAUCUGCCCACUGAAUUAUUUUAAAGGGCUGCAGUAUUUUGACUGUGCAAAGGUAGCAUAAUAAAUAGUCUUUUAAUUGAAGACUGGAAUGAAUGAUUGGACGAAAUAAUAACUGUUUCAAAUUAAUUUAUAUAUAAUUUAAUUUUUUAGUUAAAAAGCUUAAAUUAUAAUAAAAGACGAGAAGACCCUAUAGAUCUUUAUAGUUUGAUUUAAUUAAAUUUAAUUUAAAAUAUUUGAUUGGGGUGAUUUUAAAAUUUUAUAAACUUUUAAAUUAAAAAUACAAUAAUUUUUGAUUAACUGAUCCUAUAUUAUAGAUUAUUAGAAUAAGAUACCUUAGGGAUAACAGCGUAAUUUAAUUUUUGAGUUCUUAUUAAAAAUUAAGAUUGCGACCUCGAUGUUGGAUUAAAAUUAUUUUUGGGUGCAAAAGUUCAAAAUUUAAGUCUGUUCGACUUUUAAAAUUUUACAUGAUCUGAGUUCAGACCGGUGUGAGCCAGGUUGGUUUCUAUCUUUAUUAAAUAUUUUUAUCUUAGUACGAAAGGAUUAGAUAAAAAAAAUUAAUUUUUAUUUUAUGAAUUUUAUUAAUAUAA
rnacentral:rRNA from 1 species